CUCCAUUUUCCAAGAAACUUUCCCUCUCCAUUAUUGAGUUCUUUCACACGUGAGAUCUGAUUUUCGAUAGAUAUCUCCUUCUUUUUCAAGUCUUCACUCUCCCUUUUUCAUCUUUCUAUCUUCAUUAAUUUCCAGAAACAAAAUAUUAGUUUCAGUUUUCCAACCUUCAACCUCACAGGAAACUUGGCAUGAAGCUUCAAAGAAUGUUUCCUAUUUGCUGUUGGCUGCCAUAAAGAAAUCGACACUGGUCGGGAUAUGGGGAUGGAGGGUUCAGCUAGAAGAGGGGAACGGCCUCGGUUUCGAGUUCGGAGCAGAGAUUGGCUAUUGAAGUCUACUGCGUGUCUGGUGUGGGUGGUUAGAUGCAGAGAAUUUGGCUCCAGAGCAACGGCACAACUUCAUCCACAAUGGUGUUAACCUCCUCUUUACUAAUCUUUGUAUGAAAUUAGAAUAUAAGCAUGUAACUAUCCAGUUAUGGCGUUUAACUUUUUCAGGCCAGAAGGUGUUUGAGUGGGAUCAAACAUUAGAAUAGGUGAAUAUGUGCAUAAACCUUCCACCAAAUAUUCCUAAGAAACUCUUUUGCCGUAAGAUUGAGUCCAAUCUUGUCAAAUUUUGUAAAUUUGUGACAAGUAAUAUAUAUAUAUAUAUAUAUAUAUAUAUAUAUAUAUAUAUAUAUAUAUAUAUAUAUAUAUAUAUAUAUUUAUUUAUUUAUUUUAUUUUAUUUUAUUUUUUUGUUUCCUUCAUAUUUGAAUAAUUGUUUCUUGAAUUAUUUUAGUUUUUGUAUUUGGGGUUUUCUUAGAAUUUUGAAUUUUUGAAAGCACAGCUUGAACAAUAAGAUAACAAGAAGGGGUGCAAAACUUCUAUUUAUCUCUCUCUCGAUCUUGAAAGAACCAUAAAGGUUGUAUAGUGUUUGUUAUUAGUAAUGGUAUGUACGAUGUUUGAAAGAGAAUAAAUUCUGAUUCUUUGGUGAUAUUAUGAAUCUUGAGUGUGCUUAUUGAGAAUCAAUUCUGAUUCUGAAUUGUGGUUCAAUCUCAGUCUGAUGUGUUUUACCGGGAUAUUUGAAAUCAAGUACAUGAAAUGCUUAUUCUUUUCCAGGCUAUAGCUAAGAAAUUGGCAGUGGCAAGAUAGUGACAACCAUUGGAGGCAGUGACUACGUAGCUGCUAUUGAAAAGGCUGGUCUCACCGACAAGAUGAGCCAUAUCUCAACUGGAGGUAGGGCGAGCUUUGACCUUCUUGAGGGAAGACCCUUACCUGGUGUUCUUGCCCUUAAUGAGGCUUGAGUAGUGUUUUUCGUUGACAUGACUGGCUUCCAACCAGACGAGCUGAAUAAGCCAGACCUAUGGAAUGAUCCUAUACAUUCAGGGAAGAUAAGUCGUGAACAUGGUUCACUUUUGGUAAAAAUGAAAAAGGCUAAUGCAUUUGAGCAAGAACUACUUGAGCAUAUUGAUAUGAUAACACUUGCUCGUGAAGAUAAUGAUGUAGAAUUGGAAUCAGUGGGUCCUCAAUCAUUUUUUUCGAGCAUGUAUCCUUCUUUUCUAUUUUAUAGAGUUUCAUAAUGUUUCUACUUUUGGCAUGAAACUACUCAUUUAUAUUAUUUUCAUCAUUCUUUCCAAACUUCAACCAACUUAAAUUACUCACGCAUUUUUAAAAAUAAUUGGAUCAUAAAUCUUGAUUUUCCUCUAUCUAGGUCUCUUAGAAAACUUAGUUGGAUCAUUGUGAUGUAUUUGAUCCUAAGUUACUAUUGGAUUAAAUGAAUUUAAUUUGUUUGGGUGAAAAUGUGAUUUGUACGUGUGUAUAGUUAAUGUAAUGGAAUUUAAAUAACAAUAGAUUAAUUCAUAUAAUAAUUUAGGUACAAGAAAAUAUAAAUACAAAAGUUGGUUUUUGGAGAGUCGGAUGGAAUGCUUUCCUUUAAUGUUAUGUGUAAUCUAGAAGUAAUCUGUAUUCAAAAUUCCCCUUUUCGGUGUUUUAAUUUUACGGAUGAUGUAAAUAUUGAAAAGAUGAUUCUUUCCUCAUGAGUUGCAUGUGAGAUUAACUUAUUAUUCUUCUAAUUAAUAGGAAUCUCAAAAGGCUCUACUUACAAUGAGAAAAAAACAUCAACGGAAAGGAGAGUUUGAAGCUUUGUUAGCUAGGGAGUGUGAUACUUCUAACUUCAUAGAGGUAAGCUAUAUUAAUGGCCACCUAUUAGGUGCAUUUAAAUAUUAAUAAGUAUUUGCUUCUGAAUUUUGUCCUUGUAAAAAUGUGUAAUUGUUUCAUUAUUUCUUGGUGGACUCAAUAAUUUUGUUUUAUUGGUAUUAUUAUCUAGAUAUAAUUGCACUUAUUGAAUCAAUUUGGCGAAAAUCAAUCUUUUUCUACUAAUUAUAGAUUCAAGCCGGAGCUUGUGGUACUGAUAGCGUGGACUGGGAUUCAAUGGUAAUGUAAAUGUACAAGAAGUAGGCUGAACGUCGAGGCUUAGGAAUUACCAUUGUGGAUGAAAUGACUGGCAAGUUAGCAAGAAUAGGGAUUCAUGUUCUUACCACCUUUUAUGUUUAUAAUGCUUAAUAUUUUAUGAUGUCUAAUGGAUUCUAUGUGUUCAGUAUUAUCUCUUGGACAACAGAAUAAGGGUUCAUGUUCUUACCACCUUUUAUGUUUAUAAAGUUUAAUAUUUUCUGAUGUUUAAUGAAUUCUAUGUGUUCAAUAUUAUCUCUUGGACAACAGUUGAUUGUCGUUUCUACUCCCUUUGUAUGAUAAAUUUUUUUAAUAAAAGGUAGUGUCAAUUCCGAACCAAUACUUUAUGCCUCUCUACCAAACCUUUUUAGACGACGUCACAAGUUAGUAAGUUGAAACAUAAAGCAAAUUGUUUUUUGGAAUGAUAUCUUACAUGAUUUUAUUAUCAAUUGCUAUUUGUUUCCUUGCAUAUAAUGAAAACCAAAAUCCUCUAUUGUAUUUAAACAAUAACUUCCAUUCCUUCAUUAUAAUACAAUGCCUCAAUUUUUAUGUACUAUAAUUUCUACAUUUGUUUUGUUGAGAAUUUUCUUUAAUUGCUUUAGUUUCUUUGUAUUGUGCUGCCAUUAAAAUGGGUGCAAUUCAUUCUGGGGGUUGCAUUCUAAUGUUUAGCCCAUUGUUCUUUAAUCCUCUGAUGUGGGUAAUAUGUUUAACUAUCAUGCUGUAUUUGGAGGGGGUUUGGAUCUUUUAUUUACAUUUUUGGGUUUUGUGUAAAAUGGUUAUAGAAAAUAGGGAGAAAAAUGAAUUGCCAAGCUUCAGAUAGUUCAGCUGUGAGGAGCUGAAAUCUGCUACAAAUGACCUUUCUUCUGAGACCAUUAUUUCAGAGCAUGGGUAGAAGGCUUCCAAAGUAGUGUACAAAGGAUUUCUUGAAAAUCGUCAAUGGAUUGCUAUCAAGCACUUCAAUAAGUCUAAUUGACAUGAUUUUUACCUAUUCCUUGUUAGUACUUAGUGUUUACUAUUUUUUUAUCAAUCAGAAGAUCGUCAUUAAUUUCGUGUUAUUGUUUUUUGGUCGGUUAUUAUAGGAUGAAGCCAAGGCAGUGGGGAACCUGAGAAGUGAGCAAUUGUUAAUUUGAUAAGUUGUUGCUAUGAGGAAGGGGCAAGACUACUUGUAGCAGAAUUUAUGCCUAACGAAAUUCUGGCAAAACAUUUAUUUCAUUUAGAGUUUUGUAUAUAUGUAUAUUACUAUUACAGAAUUACUGCAAUUUACAUUACAUCUCGGUCGUGGAUAUUUUUCGAAUAAAUAGAACACUGAAUAUGUGUGGAGCCUAAUCAUAUUGUAUAGGUAGUGGAAAUUUAUGUCUUAGUUUAUUUUCUGAUUGCAUUCUUUUUCAGAAAGCUUAGUCCCUAAAAUAAAAUAAUGGUAAAUUUGAUCAUGUAUACAUAUGCAGUCAAUUCUCAUAUGCACAUUGAUUUUGAGAUCUAAUUUGCUUUAGUGAAGUGUUCUUGGAUAUAUCCCAUGCUUUCUAGGCCAAAUUGGUUUUGUAUGGAUAGUGUUCUAAUAUAUUUUAGUGGUUAUAUUGGUAUAGAGAAGCAACCCAUGAAAUGAGAACUGAGGUUGUGGGUGGCUCUGUAUAUGGCACAACCUCUAGAGUACUGCAGUAGUCGUGGACAGACAUUGUACCAAGAUCUUAAUGCUUAUAGUCUUGUUUGAUAAGGUAAAAUUUGCUAUAUGUAAGUUAAGAUUUUCCUUCCAAAAUUGAAUGUUUUGUGGUCUUCUAUUCAUUCACUAGCCAUACAGGAUGGGAAUCCUCUGCUCUCCUGCUUUGGCCAGAUGAAGAAUAGUCGAGAUGGCUAAAGUUACAAUACAAACUUAGCUUUCACUCCUCCAGAGUUCUUGAGAACUGGUAUAUAAUUCUGAUUUCUCUAUGAAGUGGUAAUAUUGCCCAAUGAAUCUCUCAGUACAUGUGAAGUUGGACAUCAAGGUUACUGUUGUGCAUGUGGCUCAUAUAGAGUGGAACACAAGCCCUGGAUCAAAUGGAUCGAUGCCGGCGCGGAUUUAAUUCACUGUCUGGAUGUUAGGGACGCUGAAUGGGUUGGGGGUGCAGGGGCAACGCCCCCGCGGUACGGUACAG
rnacentral:lncRNA from 1 species